rnacentral:rRNA from 1 species
UACGUAGGCAGCAAGCGUUGUUCGGAGUUACUGGGCGUAAAGGGUGUGUAGGCGGUUCCUUAAGUUUGCUGUGAAAUCUCCCGGCUUAACCGGGAGGGUGCGGUGAAUACUGAGGGACUAGAGUACGGGAGAGGAAAGUGGAAUUCCUGGUGUAGCGGUGGAAUGCGCAGAUAUCAGGAGGAACACCGGUGGCGAAGGCGGGAUCCUGGGCCAGUACUGACGCUGAGGAGCGAAAGCGUGGGGAGCAAACAGG